rnacentral:rRNA from 1 species
GACGAACGCUGGCGGCGUGCUUAACACAUGCAAGUCGAACGGAAAGGCCCUGCUUUUGUGGGGUGCUCGAGUGGCGAACGGGUGAGUAACACGUGAGUAACCUGCCCUUGACCUUGGGAUAACUUCAGGAAACUGGGGCUAAUACCGGAUAGGAGCUCCUGCUGCAUGGUGGGGGUUGGAAAGUUUCGGCGGUUGGGGAUGGACUCGCGGCUUAUCAGCUUGUUGGUGGGGUAGUGGCUUACCAAGGCUUUGACGGGUAGCUGGCCUGGGAGGGUGACCGGCCACAUUGGGACUGAGAUACGGCCCAGACUCCUACGGGAGGCAGCAGUGGGGAAUAUUGCACAAUGGGCGGAAGCCUGAUGCAGCAACGCCGCGUGCGGGAUGACGGCCUUCGGGUUGUAAACCGCUUUCGCCUGUGACGAAGCGUGAGUGACGGUAAUGGGUAAAGAAGCACCGGCUAACUACGUG